AUCAAAGAAGACAAAGGACUUUUCGGCCCCCAGAAAUAUAACUUUUGAUCACUGAAGUGGAAGCAAAACAAGCCAUACUUUUUGUAGCACUCAGCAAUUGCUUGACAAAUAAGAGAAAAUAUAUUGCUUGGGAGCAGGUUAGAGCUGUGGUAAAUUAUGCCUCAUCUGAGUGCAGAACAGUUAAUGAAAUUAAAAAGAAAUGGUUUGAUUUGAAAAAGUAGGACCCACAAAAGGGAUAUAAGUGCAACAGGAGGAAGGACAGAGUGACUCUUCACUGUCUGCUCUGGACCAACGCAUUGGCAACAUAAUUGGAGAGACCUCAGCAUCUGGCUUCAUUUGUGAUGGUGAUACUAAAGACCGUCUUCUAGACCCUAAAGGAAUACAGACACACCCACCGAUGAUGUGGGUGAUUUGCCUGACCCCUCAGCCUACCCCAGGCCUACAAGAAGGGGGUCCUCUUUGGCAUGCGCUUCAGCUGCGCCGCAUGUUUUGACUGACGCAGUCCUGAAUCAACAAGAAGAGAUCAACACAUCAAUUAUUGGACUCCAACAGCAGCUGGAGGGUGUAUGCUACGGCCUGAGAGAGAGAAAUCAAUCAUCGAAAGAACUUGUUGAUUGUGUCAAACGUGAGACAAAUUCUGGUGCAAUGUAAUUGUGUUUUCCUUGUCAAUUUGAUUAGGAUAUUUGGAAAAACCGAUACCUUAUUAAACCGUUGUAUGAUA